GGCUUACCGCCUUUUAAGGGUGAGAGAUUUCAAGAAACAAAAGUUCCGACAGCGCUCCAAAUAGUCUUAACUGUGAGAGGUCCCUGGGGAAUUGGGGCGAUUCGUGAUUGGUGGAAGGGGUUUUCGGGACCGUGACGCUUUCGUGCUGCUCCGAUCGCGACGCGACUAAUCCCAUUCGAUGUAAAAUGAAUUUUUACAUAGGUUAUGACUAAAGUUUUGAAGUGUUAACGAAAAUAACGAGAGAUUGGGAGCAAAAAGGGGAAAAAAAGGGGAAACUUCUAAAAUAGAUUGCACAUACAGUUCCACAAAAUUAGAGGAUGCGACCACCUCUAAUUGAAAGAUGAACCUUUCAUUUAACGGAAAAGACUAAAUUUGCAUUACGUUAUUUGUGGUUCGCGAGAUAUUUGACCAAGAAAAAGACACCCAGAUUGACUUUGAUUUGAUUGUUUGUUGACUAGCAGACGACGAUAACUUUUAUCGGUGUGGCGUGUGGGGACUGACUACUGGGGCGACUGGGUACUCAUUGGAAUUCAUCGAUAUAAUAAUUGUAAUAAGAAAAAAAAACCAUGCCUCCAGUGUCACAACUGAUGAUUCCUUUACCUAUCAAAUGCCAGAUUGGCAGAUAGUUCAAAUGUAGGUGCUGAAUGAACUGGUAAACAUAACAAAUGGAAUUGACAAUAGAUUACAUUUAUCAUCAGACAUCGCUCCCUUUCAGAAAAUUAUGUCUUGAAGAUGACGACAAAUUGCCAGUUGAUUUACAUGUCAUCCUUACUGAUAUCCUAUAACACCAUACUUUAUUCGGCAUGUAAAAAAAGCUUUCCCUUCUGGGUUUCCCUCAUUUAAAAGGCCUUGAUGAUGUAAUGGUGCUAAGCCAAAAUUAUAUCAACGUAGAGAAAUUAAAGCUAUGUAAUUGACAAUUACAUUCAUCAUCAGACGCAUUUCAGUUUCAGAAAAUUUUGUCUUGAAGAUGACAAGUUUUCAGUCAAUUUACAUAAUACCCUAAGUGAUAUCAUAACAGGAGCUUGUCAUUUAGAUAGUUUGUUUCCAUAAUUUAUUUCACAUGAUUGUUUAUAGAGUAAUUUCAUUUUGGUUGUUUUUAUAUUUGUAGGUACUCUAAAGCAAGAGCCUUGACAAGCAAAAUUGUAUUUCAUUCUGGCCCAACAAAUAGUGGGAAAACAUAUCAUGUUCAUGAAUGGUUUUUUAAUUCAAAUAAGAAGUUUAUUGUAAUCCUUUAAUUUCUUUAUUAAAAAUCAGAAGUUUAUUGUGGUCCCUUAAAACUUUUGACAUCUAAGUAAUAAAAUUAAGGAAAUGAGUGCGGUGUCCAAUGUGAUUUACUAUUUGGAGAAUAAAGACAUUUUCAUGCUAA